CCGCCUUCUGUCCCUCCAACAAGCGAGACGUUGCUGCUGUUCGACUGAAGCAGUGCAGGUACAGCAGCAUUUCUGAUGGAAGGAUGAAAACAAGCGGUUUCACCAAAGGUUUCGAUCCUUUUCACAUCAAGCUCAGAUGCAAUGGCGAAUCCUUCUCCUGCAAAGAGCAUCGGUGACCCUGGCAUCACCCCCCUCUCUCCAUCUCACAUUCAGGUGAUUUUUAUAUUUCUUUUGUUGUUUUUGUACACCAGUGCUUAAGCAGUCUGUAUUCUCAAUUCAAUAUGAUCAUCAGUUAAUUCUCCAGUGGUGUGUGAGGAUCUGCUUAGUAUGUUGGUGCAGGAGGAACUUGGUUAUUUUGUUCUUUGGAAACACUGCGGUCUGUUCAUUACUGCGUUCCUUUUGGCUCUUCAUCAUUGCAGCUGUUGUGUAAUAGUGUAAAAAAACAACAGUGGGAAGGAAAAAGAAACAAACACUGGUUCAACUUACAAAAAAAGAAGAAAGAGUCUUUGAGUCAACCAUUGCUG